UACGAAGGGGGCGAGCGUUGUUCGGAAUUACUGGGCGUAAAGGGCGCGUAGGCGGCGACUCUAGUCAGAUGUGAAAGUCCUGGGCUUAACCUGGGGACUGCAUUUGAUACUGGGUUGCUUGAAUUCGGGAGAGGAUAGCGGAAUUCCCAGUGUAGAGGUGAAAUUCGUAGAUAUUGGGAGGAACACCGGUGGCGAAGGCGGCAUCCUGGACCGGCAUUGACGCUGAGGCGCGAAAGCGUGGGGAGCGAACAGG
rnacentral:rRNA from 1 species